CCUACGGGAGACAGCAGUGAGGAAUAUUGGUCAAUGGGCGCGAGCCUGAACCAGCCAAGUAGCGUGAAGGAUGACUGCCCUACGGGUUGUAAACUUCUUUUAUAUGGGAAUAAAACAGGGUAUGCAUACCCUCUUGUAUGUACCAUAUGAAUAAGGAUCGGCUAACUCCGUGCCAGCAGCCGCGGUAAUACGGAGGAUCCGAGCGUUAUCCGGAUUUAUUGGGUUUAAAGGGAGCGUAGGUGGAUUGUUAAGUCAGUUGUGAAAGUUUGCGGCUCAACCGUAAAAUUGCAGUUGAAACUGGCAGUCUUGAGUACAGGAGAGGUGGGCGGAAUGCGUGGUGUAGCGGUGAAAUGCUUAGAUAUCACGAAGAACUCCGAUUGCGAAGGCAGCUCACUGGACUGCAACUGACACUGAUGCUCGAAAGUGUGGGUAUCAAACAGGAUUAGAUACCCGGGUAGUC
rnacentral:rRNA from 1 species